AGAGUUUGAUCCUGGCUCAGAUUGAACGCUGGCGGCAUGCCUUACACAUGCAAGUCGAACGGCAGCACGGAGCUUGCUCUGGUGGCGAGUGGCGAACGGGUGAGUAAUAUAUCGGAACGUACCCUAGAGUGGGGGAUAACGUAGCGAAAGUUACGCUAAUACCGCAUACGAUCUAAGGAUGAAAGUGGGGGAUCGCAAGACCUCAUGCUCGUGGAGCGGCCGAUAUCUGAUUAGCUAGUUGGUAGGGUAAAAGCCUACCAAGGCAUCGAUCAGUAGCUGGUCUGAGAGGACGACCAGCCACACUGGAACUGAGACACGGUCCAGACUCCUACGGGAGGCAGCAGUGGGGAAUUUUGGACAAUGGGCGAAAGCCUGAUCCAGCAAUGCCGCGUGAGUGAAGAAGGCCUUCGGGUUGUAAAGCUCUUUUGUCAGGGAAGAAACGGUGAGAGCUAAUAUCUCUUGCUAAUGACGGUACCUGAAGAAUAAGCACCGGCUAACUACGUGCCAGCAGCCGCGGUAAUACGUAGGGUGCAGGCGUUAAUCGGAAUUACUGGGCGUAAAGCGUGCGCAGGCGGUUUUGUAAGUCUGAUGUGAAAUCCCCGGGCUCAACCUGGGAAUUGCAUUGGAGACUGCAAGGCUAGAAUCUGGCAGAGGGGGGUAGAAUUCCACGUGUAGCAGUGAAAUGCGUAGAUAUGUGGAGGAACACCGAUGGCGAAGGCAGCCCCCUGGGUCAAGAUUGACGCUCAUGCACGAAAGCGUGGGGAGCAAACAGGAUUAGAUACCCUGGUAGUCCACGCCCUAAACGAUGUCUACUAGUUGUCGGGUCUUAAUUGACUUGGUAACGCAGCUAACGCGUGAAGUAGACCGCCUGGGGAGUACGGUCGCAAGAUUAAAACUCAAAGGAAUUGACGG
rnacentral:rRNA from 1 species